rnacentral:lncRNA from 1 species
CGCAUAAUAGUCAACCUCUUCUUUAUCUUUGCUCAUGGGUUUUGAACUCUGUUGGGUGUUCUUUUGGGCCUUCUUUCGCUUCUUCCCUGCUUUACACAUGGAGGCAGCACAAUCCUCUCGAUAGUCUUUGUUUGUCUUGUACCGACUUGCACCACACUUAGGACAAUGUUGACGGUUCUUAAGUAUCAAUUUUAAUUAUCAAAUAAACAAGAGAAAGGACCAAUAUGCAACCAACACCUAGAAUUAGGGUUUGAUCUGACAGAAUUCCACGAGUUUUGUUGUUUAUCUGCUGCAGGGGGUUAUCAGGAAAUAAGGAAAAAAGGACCACAUGUCGGGAUUACAUAGAGAUAUCAACGCACCUCGCGAUUUUCUACCAUCUAGAAGACUCCAGAAGCCACGGAAGGAAGC